rnacentral:rRNA from 1 species
AGCGGAGGAAAAGAAACUAACAAGGAUUCCCCUAGUAGCGGCGAGCGAAGCGGGAAGAGCUCAAAUUUAUAAUCUGGCACCUUCGGUGUCCGAGUUGUAAUCUCUAGAAAUGUUUUCCGCGUUGGACCGCACACAAGUCUGUUGGAAUACAGCGGCAUAGUGGUGAGACCCCCGUAUAUGGUGCGGACGCCCAGCGCUUUGUGAUACAUUUUCGAAGAGUCGAGUUGUUUGGGAAUGCAGCUCAAAUUGGGUGGUAAAUUCCAUCUAAAGCUAAAUAUUGGCGAGAGACCGAUAGCGAACAAGUACCGUGAGGGAAAGAUGAAAAGCACUUUGGAAAGAGAGUUAACAGUACGUGAAAUUGUUGGAAGGGAAACGCUUGAAGUCAGACUUGCUUGCCGAGCAAUCGGUUUGCAGGCCAGCAUCAGUUUUCCGGGAUGGAUAAUGGUAGAGAGAAGGUAGCAGUUUCGGCUGUGUUAUAGCUCUCUGCUGGAUACAUCUUGGGGGACUGAGGAACGCAGUGUGCCUUUGGCGGGGGUUUCGACCUCUUCACACUUAGGAUGCUGGUGGAAUGGCUUUAAACGAC